GCUGGGCAUGGUGGUGCAUGCCUGUAAUCCUAGCUACUCAGGAGGCUGAGGCAGGAGAAUUGCUUGAACCUGGGAGGCGAAGGUUGCAGUGAGCCAAGAUUUGUGCCACUGCACUCCAGCCUGGGUGACAGAGUAAGACUCUGUCUCAA
rnacentral:sRNA from 1 species